AUUGAACGCUGGCGGCAUGCCUUACACAUGCAAGUCGAACGGCAGCACGGGAGCAAUCCUGGUGGCGAGUGGCGAACGGGUGAGUAAUAUAUCGGAACGUGCCCAGUCGUGGGGAUAACGUAGCGAAAGCUACGCUAAUACCGCAUACGAUCUAUGGAUGAAAGCGGGGGAUCGCAAGACCUCGCGCGAUUGGAGCGGCCGAUAUCAGAUUAGGUAGUUGGUGAGGUAAAGGCUCGCCAAGCCGACGAUCUGUAGCUGGUCUGAGAGGACGACCAGCCACACUGGGACUGAGACACGGCCCAGACUCCUAC
rnacentral:rRNA from 1 species